rnacentral:rRNA from 1 species
GUGCCAGCCGCCGCGGUAAUACGUAGGGGGCGAGCGUUGUCCGGAUUUAUUGGGCGUAAAGAGCGUGUAGGCGGCUUGGUAGGUCUGCUGUGAAAACUCGGGGCUCAACCCCGAGACGUCGGUGGAAACCACCUGGCUAGAGUCCGGAAGAGGAGAGUGGAAUUCCUGGUGUAGCGGUGAAAUGCGCAGAUAUCAGGAAGAAUAUCCGUGGCGAAGGCGGCUCUCUGGUACGGCACUGACGCUGAGACGCGAAAGCGUGGGGAGCGAACAGGAUUAGAUACCCCCGUAGUCC